GACGAACGUUGGCGGCGUGCUUAAUACAUGCAAGUCAACUGAAGCAGUGGUAGCAAUAUCGCUGUGGAGGUGGCGCACGGGUGAGUAACACGUAGGUAAUCUGCCUUCAGGUCUGGCAUAACUCCGGGAAACCGGGGCUAAUAGCAGAUGAUGCAGCGGCUCGACAUCGAGACAGUUGUUAAAGCUAUGGCGCCUGAAGAUGAGCCUGCGUCUGAUUAGCUAGUUGGCGGGGUAACGGCCCACCAAGGCAACGAUCAGUAGCUGGUCUGAGAGGAUGAUCAGCCACACUGGAACUGAGACACGGUCCAGACUCCUACGGGAGGCAGCAGUAAGGAAUAUUGCUCAAUGGGAGAAAUCCUGAAGCAGCAACGCCGCGCGAGGGACGAAGGGCUUUUGCUUGUAAACCUCUGUAGUGAGAGAAAAAAAUCCCAAUCUUUGGGACAUGAUGGUAUCUCAAAAGUAAGCCCCGGCUAACUACGUG
rnacentral:rRNA from 1 species